rnacentral:rRNA from 1 species
AGGGUUCGAUUCUGGCUCAGGAUGAACGCUGGCGGCGUGCCUAACACAUGCAAGUCGAGCGGAGAGGUUACGGAGAUUCAAUCGAUGAUCUGCUUCUUCUUAGCGGCGGAUGGGUGAGUAACACGUGGGUAACCUGCCCUGCACUGGGGAAUAACAGUUGGAAACGACUGUUAAUACCGCAUAUGCGCACGGGGUCGCAUGACCCCGGGCGGAAAGAUUUAUCGGUGCAGGAUGGGCCCGCGUCGGAUUAACUGGUUGGUGAGGUAAUGGCCCACCAAGGUGAUGAUCCGUAGCCGACCUGAGAGGGUGACCGGCCACAUUGGGACUGAGACACGGCCCAAACUCCUACGGGAGGCAGCAGUGGGGGAUAUUGCACAAUGGGCGCAAAGCCUGAUGCAGCGACGCCGCGUGAAGGAAGACGUAUUUCGGUAUGUAAACUUCUAUCAGCGGGGAAGAAGAUGACGGUACCCGACUAAGAAGCCCCGGCUAAUUACGUGCCAGCCGCCGC